rnacentral:miRNA from 1 species
CUAACUACCAUGCUCCCUUACGGUUCCCAUAAUUCCCAGAAUCUACACAUCAUAGAGUAAUCACUACUCUAGGAUGUGUCCAUGCUGGGAAUUAUGGGAACCGCGAGGGAGCAUGGUAGUUA